rnacentral:piRNA from 1 species
UACUGUUGAGGGCUGGCCUUGAGC